rnacentral:rRNA from 1 species
AACGGGUGAGUAACACGUAGAUAAUCUAUCCUAUACUGGGGGAUAGCCCGAUGAAAGUUGGAUUAAUACCGCAUAUAGCUAUAUAGUUGCAUGAUUAUGUAGUGAAAGAUUUAUUGGUAUAGGAGGAGUCUGCGGCACAUUAGCUAGUAGGUGAGGUAAAGGCUUACCUAGGCGACGAUGUGUAGCCGGUCUGAGAGGAUGAACGGCCACAAUGGAACUGAGACACGGUCCAUACUCCUACGGGAGGCAGCAGUGGGGAAUAUUGCACAAUGGGGGAAACCCUGAUGCAGCAACGCCGCGUGAGUGAAGAAGGUUUUCGGAUUGUAAAGCUCUGUUAGCAGGGAAGAGGAAGGACGGUACCUGCAGAGGAAGCCACGGCUAACUACGUGCCAGCAGCCGCGGUAAUACGUAGGUGGCAAGCGUUGUUCGGAAUAACUGGGCGUAAAGGAUGCGUAGGCGGUUAAACAAGUUAUAUGUUAAAUAUAUAGGCUUAACCUGUAGAAAGCAUAUAAAACUGUUUAACUAGAGUGCAGGAGAGGUAAGUGGAAUUCCUAGUGUAGCGGUGAAAUGCGUAGAGAUUAGGAAGAACACCAGUGGCGAAGGCGACUUACUGGACUGUAACUGACGCUGAGGCAUGAGAGCAUGGCGAGCAAACAGGAUUGGAUACCC